CAUGCAUCGUUAUUCCUUCACAGCCUCUUCAGCUCCUCUGAUGAACGCGGCGGUGAUAACUGCAGGAGACAGAAAGCGCCGAUGCCUGGAAGCAGGGGAGAGGCGGAGGAGCUGCGGGCAGCAGAGGGAGUAUAACACCAGGAAUGGUGGGGGAGCGCGGCUCGGCUCCUGCGGGGGCUCGGCAGCAGGUUUUUGCUAUUUGAAUAUCAUUCAGGAAGCUGAGGGAUAGAGCUUACCAUUUCAAGCAAACGACUGAGUCUUAAUUCUCAAAUGUGACCCCACAUUGGAAGAAGGGAGACAAAUAUUAGCCACCUAGAAAAUGAAGGCAAUAACACCUUACGAGGAAGGGAAGUUUCUGACGAAGAGCUGAAUCUCUUCUGGGUCAACAUGAGGGACAAAGCUGCUUGAGGUUAGUAGAAAACUUCCA
rnacentral:lncRNA from 1 species